AAUUAAACCGGGUAUUUGAACCAUAUUGUACACCUGGCAUUUCGCCGAAGUACUAAAAAGGAGAA
rnacentral:ncRNA from 1 species